rnacentral:lncRNA from 1 species
AAAGAGUUUAUUCCAGAUCAGCAAAGACUUGCAAAUUGAGAUCUACAGCCAUGAUGAGCCACAUGCAAGUCUACAGCAAAAAAAUGUGUUUUCCAGUUGGCAGAAGUUAACAAAGAUUAAUGAUGCUAUGCUGCCUACAAGCAUGUAGACCCCAGA